rnacentral:lncRNA from 1 species
CAAAAUAUUCCAACAUUUUAUGAUUUCGAGUAUAGAGACAUGAAAACUAGUAAAGCACAUGCUCAUGAAAAUGGCUGCUAACCUUAAUAGCCGAUGAUUGAUCCAUCGUCAAUUCAUCACAGUUUAAGCUCCUGCAAAUUAGUUAAACCAGACAUCAGAUUAAUCCAUGCAAGAAAAAACGGAAAUGACUCGUUAAAGAAACGACCUUUCGGACCAAUUGAAAAAAUGUUUUUGCACUCCAAAGUUGGAGUCUGGUUCCAGUAUUUUAUCAAACACCUUGUAUGCACGCAAGACUCAUGCACGCUGCACCUAUGGAAGGCUGACUUCUCAAGGUUUCUAACCGUGGGUCCUGGUCGUCGAGAUUCACCCUCUAAGGCCUCCGUUCAAUUAAUUCUUUGAAGAGCCAAAGGCUGGAAUUCGAUUUCUGGACAGCUAGUCGUCUUCUUCGUCCGAUUUCGGCGACCAUCUGAUGCAACCACCAAUGGAGGCCACCACCACUGGAAAGCUGACUUCCCAAGCUUUCCAACGAUGUGACUUCAUCGUCAUAACCCCUCGUUCACACAGCCCUAAUUUCGUCGAUAAUUGAAUUGGGGAUUUGCAAUUCCAACAUCAAAU